rnacentral:other from 1 species
AAUACCCUGCUGUGCGCGUGCAAAGCCGAUUAAGUUUUGAGCUAACACUGAUGAAAUGGGAGCCUGACUUUACUUGUGGCGCAGAAGCCCCUGAGAUAUGGGGACCUGUAAAGCAUGUAAGAAGGCACCCACCUGUAGAGGGAGCAGUUCAAAACAACGGCCUACGUCAUGGCGGGGUUAUU